rnacentral:rRNA from 1 species
UGGGGAAUUUUGGACAAUGGGCGAAAGCCUGAUCCAGCCAUGCCGCGUGCAGGAUGAAGGCCUUCGGGUUGUAAACUGCUUUUGUACGGAACGAAAAGACUCUGGUUAAUACCUGGGGGUCCAUGACGGUACCGUAAGAAUAAGCACCGGCUAACUACGUGCCAGCAGCCGCGGUAAUACGUAGGGUGCAAGCGUUAAUCGGAAUUACUGGGCGUAAAGCGUGCGCAGGCGGUUAUAUAAGACAGAUGUGAAAUCCCCGGGCUCAACCUGGGAACUGCAUUUGUGACUGUAUAGCUAGAGUACGGCAGAGGGGGGAUGGGAUUCCGCGUGUAGCAGUGAGAUGCGUAGAUAUGCGGAGGAACACCGAUGGCNAAGGCAAUCCCCUGGGCCUNUACUGACGCUCAUGCACGAAAAGGCGUGGGGAGCAAACAGGAAUUAGAUACCCCUGGUAGUCCACGCCCUAAACGAUGUCAACUGGUUGUUGGGUCUUCACUGACUCAGUAACGAAGCUAACGCGUGAAGUUGACCGCCUGGGGAGUACGGCCGCAAGGUUGAAACUCAAAUGAAUUGAC